rnacentral:rRNA from 1 species
GACGAACGCUGGCGGCGUGCUUAACACAUGCAAGUCGAACGGAAAGGCCCUGCUUUUGUGGGGUGCUCGAGUGGCGAACGGGUGAGUAACACGUGAGUAACCUGACCUUGACUUUGGGAUAACUUCAGGAAACUGGGGCUAAUACCGGAUAGGAGCUCCUGCUGCAUGGUGGGGGUUGGAAAGUUUCGGCGGUUGGGGAUGGACUCGCGGCUUAUCAGCUGGUUGGUGGGGUAGUGGCUUACCAAGGCUUUGACGGGUAGCCGGCCUGAGAGGGUGACCGGCCACAUUGGGACUGAGAUACGGCCCAGACUCCCACGGGAGGCAGCAGUGGGGAAUAUUGCACAAUGGGCGGAAGCCUGAUGCAGCAACGCCGCGUGCGGGAUGACGGCCUUCGGGUUGUAAACCGCUUUCGCCUGUGACGAAGCGUGAGUGACGGUAAUGGGUAAAGAAGCACCGGCUAACUACGUG